rnacentral:lncRNA from 1 species
CGACUAAUGGGGACAGCCAGAGCCAAGGGGCUCUCAGGGCAGCAGGAGGGCCGUGCAGGGCCACCAUCGUGUCAGCAGCACGUUGACCAUGGCUCACGACAUGGGGACGGGCAUUCUCGCCGCUUCCUCAGAAUAUUAAUGACCGUCCCAGCAGAAUGCUGUAUGAAUAUUCAUAUGGAGCUCAAUCAAGCCUGGGCUGGCGGAUGGCACAGGGAGAGGCGCCGUGACGGGCUGUGCCCGGGUCCCAGUGGGCACACCUUGGCAGGGUGUGGCCGUAAGUCGCCGCCAGCUCCAGCCAGGAUCUGCCUCCCUCGGGAUGGGACAGGCCUGGGCCUGUUGUAUGGCCACAGGCAGAAGAGGCCGAUGAGUGACAUGACAUCACCACUUAGUGACUGCCCUCGUCCUGGGAGCCCAGAUGCUGGGGCGGGGCUCCUUCCUGAAAGACCCAGAGAAGUUCAUCUCAGGUUUAACGGGGGCACUGCUGCCUCAGAAGCCAGGCAGUGGGUGGUGAGGUCCCUGUCCUCACUGGGGUCUGCAGCCGAGGAGGUCUGGCCACCGAGGCCCAGGCCAGGCACGGGGAUGCUGGGUGGCCAUGGCCAGUCCUCCCGGGAGCCCCUAGCACCUUGGGCCUGCCCCCAGCUCUCAUGCCAGGAGAGGUUUUUUCCCACUCCGGUGGCCGACGCCCUGGUGAAGGGAUUCGCAGAACGGGAGCACGUGGAUUUCCAGUUCUUCCCAGCGGGCGCACGUAGGCCGGCACCCUCUCUCUCGUCUUUGG